AUUGAACGCUGGCGGCAGGCCUAACACAUGCAAGUCGAAUGGAAACAGGAAACAGCUUGCUGUUUCGCUUUCGCGGGGCGGGCGUGUGAGACAUGUCGGUGAACCUCCUUGAUGGCGGGGGUAAACUCCUGGAAACGGUACCUAAUACCGCAUAUCUACGCAAGCGCAAGGAGCAGGAGUUUCGGGCGUUUUUGCUUCCGCUGAUCCCUGAUCGGAUUAGCUAGUAGGUAGGGUAACGGCUAACCAAGGCGACGAUCCCUAGCUGGUCUGAGAGGAUGACCAGCCACACUGGAACUGAGACACGGUCCAGACUCCUACGGGAGGCAGCAGUAGGGAAUAUUGCACAAUGGGCGCAAGCCUGAUGCAGCCAUGCCGCGUGUAUGAUGAAGGCCUUCGGAUUGUAAAAUACUGUCAGCAGGGAGGAAGAGAGUAGAAUGAAAACCUUCGCUUAUUGACGGUACCCACAGAGAAAGCACCGGCUAACUCCGUG
rnacentral:rRNA from 1 species